rnacentral:rRNA from 1 species
UCGGGUGUGACUGCGUACCUUUUGUAUAAUGGGUCAGCGACUUAUAUUCUGUAGCAAGGUUAACCGUAUAGGGGAGCCGAAGGGAAACCGAGUCUUAACCGGGCGUUAAGUUGCAGGGUAUAGACCCGAAACCCGGUGAUCUAGCCAUGGGCAGGUUGAAGGUUGGGUAACACUAACUGGAGGACCGAACCGACUAAUGUUGAAAAAUUAGCGGAUGACCUGUGGCUGGGGGUGAAAGGCCAAUCAAACCGGGAGAUAGCUGGUUCUCCCCGAAAGCUAUUUAGGUAGCGCCUCGUGAAUUCAUCUCCGGGGGUAGAGCACUGUUUCGGCUAGGGGGCCAUCCCGGCUUACCAACCCGAUGCAAACUGCGAAUACCGGAGAAUGUUAUCACGGGAGACACACGGCGGGUGCUAACGUCCGUCGUGAAGAGGGAAACAACCCAGACCGCCAGCUAAGGUCCCAAAGUCAUGGUUAAGUGGGAAACGAUGUGGGAAGGCCCAGACAGCCAGGAUGUUGGCUUAGAAGCAGCCAUCAUUUAAAGAAAGCGUAAUAGCUCACUGGUCGAGUCGGCCUGCGCGGAAGAUGUAACGGGGCUAAACCAUGCACCGAAGCUGCGGCAGCGACGCUUAUGCGUUGUUGGGUAGGGGAGCGUUCUGUAAGCCUGUGAAGGUGGCCUGUGAGGGUUGCUGGAGGUAUCAGAAGUGCGAAUGCUGACAUAAGUAACGAUAAAGCGGGUGAAAAGCCCGCUCGCCGGAAGACCAAGGGUUCCUGUCCAACGUUAAUCGGGGCAGGGUGAGUCGACCCCUAAGGCGAGGCCGAAAGGCGUAGUCGAUGGGAAACGGGUUAAUAUUCCCGUACUUGGUGUUACUGCGAAGGGGGGACGGAGAAGGCUAUGUUGGCCGGGCGACGGUUGUCCCGGUUUAAGCGUGUAGGUGUGUGUUCCAGGUAAAUCCGGUU